rnacentral:rRNA from 1 species
CCUACGGGAGGCAGCAGUGGGGAAUAUUGGACAAUGGGCGAAAGCCUGAUCCAGCCAUGCCGCGUGUGUGAAGAAGGCCUUCGGGUUGUAAAGCACUUUCAGUGGGGAAGAAAGCCUUGGGGCUAAUACCCUCGAGGAAGGACAUCACCCACAGAAGAAGCACCGGCUAACUCCGUGCCAGCAGCCGCGGUAAUACGGAGGGUGCGAGCGUUAAUCGGAAUUACUGGGCGUAAAGCGCGCGUAGGCGGUCUGAUAAGCCGGUUGUGAAAGCCCCGGGCUCAACCUGGGAACGGCAUCCGGAACUGUCAGGCUAGAGUGCAGGAGAGGAAGGUAGAAUUCCCGGUGUAGCGGUGAAAUGCGUAGAGAUCGGGAGGAAUACCAGUGGCGAAGGCGGCCUUCUGGACUGACACUGACGCUGAGGUGCGAAAGCGUGGGUAGCAAACGGGAUUAGAUACCCCAGUAGUC